rnacentral:lncRNA from 10 species
AUAUGACUCAGCAAACACAAUGAGCAGACAAUUGAUGCAAGCAACCACCUGAAUUCCUUUCCUGAAAUUUGUGCUGAAUCUCUACCGUGACUCCAGGAAGAUGGGACGCAAAAAAGGGAAAAUGAGACCAUGGCUAUUAUUAUUUGAAGAAAGCUGUUUGUUACAAAGCAAAAGGGGAAGACCUUGCCUGUCUAUAAAUUGAUGGUUGAGCCUUCCUGGAUACUUGAAGGGCCUCUACCUGUUCUCCUGUCUGACUUCUGUCUCUGCAGAGCCCAUUCCUGGCUACUCACUCAAAUGUUGCUUCUCACUAAGGCCAGACCUGGACCUUCCCUGGGUCCUGAAUCAACUCUCUGCAGUGUCUCCUGGGAAGAGAGGUUCUCUGGAUACCUAACUUUAUCUCACUUCAGCUGGGACCAUAUGCCAACCACUUCCUUAACUCAACAGUUUAGACUGACAUUCACUGCUGGCCUCUAAUUCAAUAGCAUGCACAGUUCCAAAAUCAAUGAGUCAAAUAUACCUGUCUUAAAAAAAUAAAUAAAUAAAUAAAUAAAAGAAAGAAAAGAAAAAGAAAAAAGAAAAAAAAAAAAAGAAAAGAAUUUUGCGUAUCAGGAUCAAAGUAUAUUCAAAUGAAGACCAGGCUUGAAGAAUCCUUGAACAGACAAAACCAGUAUGGCAUCAUAAAUAAUUUCAACCUUGCUUGAUUUGUAAACAUAAGCAAAACUUAACUUGAGCUAUUUCUUGUAAAUACCUACAUUAAAAGAAAAAAACAGAACUCAAGCUCAACCAAUCAGAAGUAGCAAACAAACCUAUAAUUAUGUAACUAGGGACUUUUCCCAAUGGGAUAUACCAAUUAAGGCCACUGUAUAUCUGUAACCAAUCAAACAUUUUCUUUGCUUUAUUUCCAUGUACAUCCUAUAAACGCCUCCCCCUCAGUGGAGCUCUUGAGCCACUUCUGGUUUGGAGCUGCCUGAUUCAUGAAUAUUUGUGUGUUCAAAUAAACUCGUU